rfam:Trichobilharzia regenti genome assembly, scaffold: TRE_contig0008443
CUACUGAUGAAGAGUCCCAAACUAGGACGAAACAUGUGUCUAAUAC